rnacentral:rRNA from 1 species
GGUCAAGCGAACAAGUGCAUGUGGUGGAUGCCUUGGCGAUCACAGGCGAUGAAGGACGCGGUAGCCUGCGAAAAGCCCCGGGGAGCUGGCAAACAAGCUUUGAUCCGGGGAUGUCCGAAUGGGGAAACCCACUCCGUAUGGAGUAUCCAUGACUGAAUACAUAGGUCAUGUGAAGCGAACGCGGUGAACUGAAACAUCUAAGUAACCGCAGGAAAAGAAAUCAACCGAGAUUCCCAAAGUAGUGGCGAGCGAAAUGGGAUGAGCCUUGUACUCUUUAUUUGUAUUGUUAGCCGAACGCUCUGGAAAGUGCGGCCAUAGCAGGUGAUAGCCCUGUAGGCGAAAACAGUAUGAAAGAACUAGGUGUACGACAAGUAGGGCGGGACACGUGAAAUCCUGUCUGAAGAUGGGGGGACCAUCCUCCAAGGCUAAAUACUCGUGAUCGACCGAUAGUGAACCAGUACCGUGAGGGAAAGGCGAAAAGAACCCCGGGAGGGGAGUGAAAUAGAUCCUGAAACCGCAUGCAUACAAACAGUCGGAGCCUCGUAAGGGGUGACGGCGUACCUUUUGUAUAAUGGGUCAGCGACUUACGUUCAGUAGCAAGCUUAACCGUAUAGGGCAGGCGUAGCGAAAGCGAGUCCGAAUAGGGCGUUCAGUUGCUGGGCGUAGACCCGAAACCAGGUGAUCUAUCCAUGGCCAGGAUGAAGGUGCGGUAACACGUACUGGAGGUCCGAACCCACUAACGUUGAAAAGUUAGGGGAUGAGCUGUGGAUAGGGGUGAAAGGCUAAACAAACCUGGAAAUAGCUGGUUCUCUCCGAAAACUAUUUAGGUAGUGCCUCGUGUCUCACCUUCGGGGGUAGAGCACUGUCAUGGUUGGGGGGUCUAUUGCAGAUUACCCCGCCAUAGCAAACUCCGAAUACCGAAGAGUGCAAUCACGGGAGACAGACAUCGGGUGCUAACGUCCGGUGUCAAGAGGGAAACAACCCAGACCGCCAGCUAAGGUCCCCAAAUAUGGCUAAGUGGGAAACGAAGUGGGAAGGCUAAAACAGUCAGGAGGUUGGCUUAGAAGCAGCCACCCUUUAAAGAAAGCGUAAUAGCUCACUGAUCGAGUCGUCCUGCGCGGAAGAUGUAACGGGGCUAAGCCAUAUACCGAAGCUGCGGAUGCGAGCUUGCUCGCAUGGUAGGAGAGCGUUCCGUAAGCCUGCGAAGGUGCCUUGUAAAGGGUGCUGGAGGUAUCGGAAGUGCGAAUGCUGACAUGAGUAGCGAUAAAGGGGGUGAAAGGCCCCCUCGCCGUAAGCCCAAGGUUUCCUACGCAACGUUCAUCGGCGUAGGGUGAGUCGGCCCCUAAGGCGAGGCAGAAAUGCGUAGCUGAUGGGAAGCAGGUCAAUAUUCCUGCACCAUUGUUAGAUGCGAUGGGGGGACGGAUCGCGGAAGGUUGUCCGGGUGUUGGACGUCCCGGUCGCUGCAUUGGAGAAGGCGCUUAGGUAAAUCCGGGCGCAGGAUUCAAGGGUGUGGCGCGAGCGACUUCGGUCGCGAAGCAAUUGGAAGUGGUUCCAAGAAAAGCCUCUAAGCUUCAGUCUAACGAUGACCGUACCGCAAACCGACACAGGUGGGCGAGAUGAGUAUUCUAAGGCGCUUGAGAGAACUCGGGAGAAGGAACUCGGCAAAUUGGUACCGUAACUUCGGGAUAAGGUACGCCCUUGUAGCUUGACCAGCCUGCGCUGGAAGGGUGAAGGGGUUGCAAUAAACUGGUGGCUGCGACUGUUUAAUAAAAACACAGCACUCUGCAAACACGAAAGUGGACGUAUAGGGUGUGACGCCUGCCCGGUGCCGGAAGAUUAAAUGAUGGGGUGCAAGCUCUUGAUUGAAGUCCCGGUAAACGGCGGCCGUAACUAUAACGGUCCUAAGGUAGCGAAAUUCCUUGUCGGGUAAGUUCCGACCUGCACGAAUGGCGUAACGAUGGCCACACUGUCUCCUCCCGAGACUCAGCGAAGUUGAAGUGUUUGUGAUGAUGCAAUCUACCCGCGGCUAGACGGAAAGACCCCAUGAACCUUUACUGUAGCUUUGCAUUGGACUUUGAACCGAUCUGUGUAGGAUAGGUGGGAGGCUAUGAAACCGGAACGCUAGUCUCGGUGGAGCCGUCCUUGAAAUACCACCCUGGUUUGUUUGAGGUUCUAACCUUGGUCCGUGAUCCGGAUCGGGGACAGUGCAUGGUAGGCAGUUUGACUGGGGCGGUCUCCUCCCAAAGGGUAACGGAGGAGUACGAAGGUACGCUAGGUACGGUCGGAAAUCGUGCUGAUAGUGCAAUGGCAUAAGCGUGCUUAACUGCGAGACCGACAAGUCGAGCAGGUGCGAAAGCAGGUCAUAGUGAUCCGGUGGUUCUGUAUGGAAGGGCCAUCGCUCAACGGAUAAAAGGUACUCUGGGGAUAACAGGCUGAUACCGCCCAAGAGUUCAUAUCGACGGCGGUGUUUGGCACCUCGAUGUCGGCUCAUCUCAUCCUGGGGCUGUAGCCGGUCCCAAGGGUAUGGCUGUUCGCCAUUUAAAGAGGUACGUGAGCUGGGUUUAAAACGUCGUGAGACAGUUUGGUCCCUAUCUGCCGUGGGCGUUGGAUAUUUGAAGGGGGCUGCUCCUAGUACGAGAGGACCGGAGUGGACGAACCUCUGGUGUACCGGUUGUGACGCCAGUCGCAUCGCCGGGUAGCUAUGUUCGGAAGAGAUAACCGCUGAAAGCAUCUAAGCGGGAAACUCGCCUUAAGAUGAGAUAUCCCUGGAGGCUUGACCUCCUUGAAGGGUCGUUCGAGACCAGGACGUUGAUAGGUCGGGUGUGUAAGCGCAGUAAUGCGUUCAGCUAACCGAUACUAAUUGCCCGUAAGGCUUGAUCCU